CGCUCAACUGCUGUGCCACCCAGGCGCCCCUAACCUGCCAAACUUCUGAAAUAGCUGAACCAGUUUUAUUCCCACCACCAGUGUAUGAAGAUUUCCUUUUGUUUUUCCUACCAUGAUAACACUUAUCCUGUAGAUGAAUAAAGAUGAAUAAAACCAGUGUGAGUGUUCUGCUAUCAACUUUAGCCAGCGCACUAAUACAUUUGGAAACCGAAGAAAUGACCACUAUGUGGGUCUAUGAAUGCAGAAGAUUCACUUUGAGCUGUACUUAUCCCAGGACUGCAUUUAUUUCUGGCCACCAUCUACCUUCAUUUUAACAAUGGCAAAACUGUUUGGUGCUUUGGAUCCUUGGAUAUCGAUCCCAAUCCAGCUCCUGUAUCCAAUAAUCUUCAGAAGAUAUUCUUUCAGCACAAUCGAAUGCUUACUAAAUGACAGGCAUUGUAUUAGACCCUGGGGAUAUGAAGACGAUAAAAUUCGUGGUUCUUUACCAUCUAAGGAACUAAUAGCUGAUGCUUGAAUGGAAGGAAACAUGUCCACUGUAACUAGUUCUACUUCUGUGAGAAACGUAACAUUGGAUUUAAUGGACUAUAUAAUUUGGAUAUUAAAAGAGAAGUGUUUGUUCACUGGUGAAUUCUACCAAACAUUUAAAGAAGAAAUUCUCAUUCAUAUAUACCCA